rnacentral:lncRNA from 1 species
GAAUUGCUGAGCAUUUUUCCUUAAAGAUGAAUUCAAUAUUUAUUAAAUAUUCCAUUAUUAAACAAGAACUGGAAUGAAAUGGAAUGGAGUGGAAUGGAAUGGAACGGAACAGAACGGAACAGAAUAGAACAGUUCAUUUGGAAGGGACCUUCAAAUGUCACCUAAUCCAACUGCCUGACCUCUUCAGGUCUAACCAGAAGUUACAGCAUAUUAACAACAGCAUUGUCCAAAUGCCUCCUGAACACUGACAGGCAGGGGGCAUCAACGACCUCGCUAGGAUGGUUGAUACACCAUUAUGAUGUAUGGUUGAUAUGCCAUUAGGCAAUAAUAGUAAGAUUAUUCUAGGCUUCACAAUAGUGAUAAUGAUCCGUGAAGGAGAAACAUAAAUUGCAGCAAAGUAAACCAGAAGAGCUCCAUAUCCGUAGAGUCUGUAGAAGGCUGAAAGCUUCUGGUGAAAAUGAACAAGGAUCUUAUAAAACUGCAUGGCUGAGAAAGGGUGUAAUGUUUGUUUAGAUGCAUGGAGACAUCAAGUCACAGAUAGGCUUUCAUCUGGCAGAUUGUGGUUCUUGUGCUGAACUGCAACAGCUAUUGUUGAGGUCGAAGUCCUGCACCUCUCUCACAUUUCCAGAGUACCUGGCAGCAGUGAGAAAGAAGGUUCCACUGGAUCAAUGCUGGACUGCGUUGGAGUUGUGGUACAGGACUUUUUUUGGGCAAUCAUUCUGUUAAUUUAAGGUCAUUGGUCCGGAGAAACUACAAGAAGCUGAAUAGAACUGGAAGCUACAGAAAUGGAAGCAUCCACAUCUUUGUCUGCCACUAUGAUAUUGAAAUGUAAUGCAGAUUGAAAAUUAAAUACAAUAGCUAAGAUAGUGGUUCUAAUAACCCGGAAAUUUAUAAAUAAAUAGACUUAGAU